rnacentral:rRNA from 1 species
GACGAACGCUGGCGGCGUGCUUAACACAUGCAAGUCGAACGGUGAAGCGCCUUCCUUUUUGGUGGGUGUGGAUGAGUGGCGAACGGGUGAGUAACACGUGAGUAACCUGCCCCCUUCUUCUGGAUAACCGCAUGAAAGUGUGGCUAAUACGGGAUAUUCUGGGUCUGUCGCAUGAUGGGUCUGGGAAAGAUAUUGUUUCGGUGGGGGAUGGGCUCGCGGCCUAUCAGCUUGUUGGUGGGGUGAUGGCCUACCAAGGCGGUGACGGGUAGCCGGCCUGAGAGGGUGGACGGUCACACUGGGACUGAGACACGGCCCAGACUCCUACGGGAGGCAGCAGUGAGGAAUAUUGCACAAUGUUCGCAAGCCUGAUGCAGCGACGCCGCGUGAGGGAUGGAGGCCUUCGGGUUGUGAACCUCUUUCGCCAGUGAAGCAGGCCUGCCUCGUUUGUGGGUGGGUUGACGGUAGCUGGAUAAGAAGCGCCGGCUAACUACGUG